AAGACCCCUUUUUACGAAGCAACUAAAACAUUCAUAAAAGAAAGGAAACAAUAUUUCACGUUGGCAUUGUUGGCUGCUCUGGAGCUGUCAAUUAAUUCUUUUCCGGGAAAAGAGUUGAAGAAACCGGUGGUAGAAGCCGCUCGUCGGCUAUCAAGCAUUUCGUCCGCGACAGAACCGGGAAAAAACGUUUGAUUGCGCUCAGCCAUUCGGUCAAUAAAAUCCCGAGAACAGGGAUCAAAAGGUUGCCAGGACUAUCGGAAACUUGCCAAAGGGGCCGUGAAAAACACGGCCCCUUUCGUUCACCGCUUCGGUUGGAACUCUGACUCCCUAUCAAACUCUCGGGAAUGAUUUUGAUUCCGAUCACGCACGAGGUGGAGGAGAACCCUUUGCCCAGGUGGAGGUGCAGCAGAAACGGUGGCCAGAAAUUCCGGAUUGUGUGCCUUUACGGCUAUCCUGACUCACAGCUCUUUGGCGCUGAUGAUAACUCGUCCACGAGACAUUUUCUUGUUCCCUCCACGAUCAAUUUGUUGUCCGAGGUCGAUUAUCGGAGCGGCGAGAAACGAAAGCUGUCGGAGUUGCAUCCAGUCACGACCACAGGAGGUCACAAGUUUGGCGGUCGUUGUGCGAGUUUCCGGAGGGUACCCAUCCGGAGUGCAGUUGUGCUGAUUGUCUUGCAUUCAACUAAAAUGCAUUCGACAGAGUGCAGCAAGAUACCGGCAUUGUUCGCAGCCGUCAGUCUGCGCAUCUGGCGCUCACAGGGCGUCGCGUUUCUUGACCGGAUAAUAGCAGAGAUGGAAGGUGGAUUAUUCGCUCGUCAUCCAGUCCAGUUGAAAUCACAUUCCCAGGAGAGCAAUCUCAGGUGGGGAGGCUUCGACACUGCCUCAGAACGCCGGACAAGACGAAUUAAAAAGGGAUGGAACACCACGUAAGUCACACAAUGCUUUGUAUUAAGGGGGGUCAAUAAAAUGGGUAACACCUAACUUUGCAACAUUUUGUUGUCAGAAAUUAA